GACACAGUGAAAUACUGGAAGUCUGCAUCCGGAACGGGGCCUUCAUCAGAACCCAACCAUGCCGGCACCCUGAUUUUGGACUUUCAGCCUCCAGAACUCUGCCAUGUUGUGAGGUCACUCAGGGAGCCCAUGGAGAAGCCUAUGCGAUAAGAAGCUGAGACCUUCCCUGAACCAUAUGCGUACUUAAAGGAGUGAGUCAUUGGCAUAAUGCAACUGUCUGAAGAUAAGUGCUUGAUCACCAAGUGAAAAUUAACUUUACAAUCUUUAAAAUGGUGAUUCAUCAUCCUUGGUUGAAAAUCUAUACCUGAGCAAAAGGAAGGCCAGUUCGAGUACAACACUGACUGUCCUUUUAGAAGCAUUAGCUUGACCUGUGUUAUUGCCACAAUAAGAAAAUUCUUGAUACAUGGACUGUUUUAUAUAAUUGUGCUACGAAAUGGCCC